UGGCCCCAUAGUUCAAUGGAUAGAACAAAUCUCUCCUAAAGAUUAGAUUCGGGUUCGAUUCCCGAUGGAGCUAC
rnacentral:tRNA from 1 species